GCCUUUAAAGACACCAGAAAGACACGCAUGGAGCCAGAGGUGGGGAGUCACAGAACUGAAGUCAAGCUAUCCAGCCGCAAAGGAAAACCCCUGGAGAAGGUGUGGCUGACUUGAUCAGAGGCGCAAAAGAGAAGAUCCUCAAAGUGAAAGGGCCUGUCCAGAUGCCUACCAAAACUCUGAGAACUGCUAGAAGAUAAACUCCUUGUGCUUAAGGUUCUGAGACAUGGGAUCCUUUCCAGAUGAGAAUCCACAAGCAAUCAUUGAUUUGCAUAGUUCUUUGAGAUGGCUAAACUGAUUAUUCCCAUCAGUAUUGAGCCACGAGUUGAAGCCAAAGUCACCAUUGCUGAUGCUUAA
rnacentral:lncRNA from 1 species